rnacentral:rRNA from 1 species
UACGGGGGGGGCAAGCGUUGUUCGGAAUUACUGGGCGUAAAGGGCUCGUAGGCGGCCAACUAAGUCAGACGUGAAAUCCCUCGGCUUAACCGAGGAACUGCCAUCCAGACUGCUUUGCUUGAGGCCGGGAGAGGUGAGUGGAAUUCCCAGUGUAGCGGUGAAAUGCGUAGAUAUUGGGAGGAACACCAGUGGCGAAGGCGGCUCACUGGUCCGGUACUGACGCUGAGGUGCGAAAGCGUGGGGAGCAAACAGG